ACUGGGUGCAGUGGUGCACGCCUGUAAUCCCAGCAGCUUGGAAGGCUGAGGCAGGAGGAUCCCAAGUUCAAAGCCAGCCAUGGCAACAGUGAGGUGCUAAGCAAUUCAGCGAGACCCUGUCUCUA
rnacentral:sRNA from 1 species